UACGAAGGGAGCUAGCGUUGUUCGGAAUCACUGGGCGUAAAGCGCACGUAGGCGGAUGUGUCAGUCAGGGGUGAAAUCCCGGAGCUCAACUUCGGAACUGCCUUUGAUACAGCACGUCUUGAGUCCGAUAGAGGUGGGUGGAAUUCCUAGUGUAGAGGUGAAAUUCGUAGAUAUUAGGAAGAACACCAGUGGCGAAGGCGGCUCACUGGACUGGUAUUGACGCUGAGGUGCGAAAGCGUGGGGAGCAAACAGG
rnacentral:rRNA from 1 species